GUGCUCACUUUAGCAGCACAGGUGCUAAAAUCAGAAUGAUAUAGAGAAGAUUAGCAUGGCCCCUGAGCAAGGAAGAAACACAAAUUCAUGAACUAUUCAAUAUUCUU
ensembl:snRNA U6 U6 spliceosomal RNA